UUUUGGGUCGCGACCCAUAGUUUGAAUACCACUGUAUUAGUAGGUUGAUGUGGCUGCCACGUAAUUAUGGUCCAGUUGGAUUGAAGAUAUAUCUUCUGUAUGCAUUAUUGUUGUUUGGUCAACUGAAAUAAUACAAUAAUUAUUUAAAAAAGUUUUUCUUAAAUUAUGAUAGGCAAAUUAAAAAAAAAAUGCAUGAAAACAAUUUUAAAUGUUAAAUUGAAACUGCAAUACAAGGUUAAUUCUUACUUAAUGUAUUGGUUGAUGUGGCUGCCACAUAAUCAUGGUCCAGUUGGAUUGAAGAUAAAUCUUCUGUAUGCAUUAUUGUUGUUUGUUCAACUGAAAUAGUACAAUAAUUAUUUUUAAAAGUUCGUCUUAAAUUAUGAUAGGCAAAUUAAAAAAAAAUGUAUAAAAACAAUUUUAGUGUUAAAUUUAAACUGUAACAGAAGGUUAAUUCUUACUUAAUGUAUUGGUUGAUGUAGCUGCCACAUAAUCAUGGUCCAGUUGGAUUGAAGAUAAAUCUUCUGUUUGCAUUACUGUUGUUUGUUCAACUAAAAUAGUACAAUAAUUAUUUUAAAAAGUUCUUCUUAAAUUAUGAUGCAAAUUUAAAAAAAAAUGUAUAAAAACAAUUUUGAAGGUAAAUUAAAAGUUGAUGAAGCUGCCACAUAAUCAUGGUCCAUGUCCAUACUGGAUGAAGAUAAAUCUUUCCUUGGGCUUAAUGUUGUCCGCUUAACUGAAAUAGAUUUUAAAAAGUUGUUAAAUUAUUAUAGGCAAAUAAAAUAAAAUUGUAUAAAAACAAUUUUUAAAGUAAAUAAAAAGUAAAUUAAUUCAAUAUAACAGACUUAUUUACAGCUUUCUCCAUUGUUUAAUGGAGAAAACCAUCCUAGGGAUCGAAUAAUCUCGCAAUAAACGAUAAAACUUCACGUUUUGAAUGGAAUGUAACGCAAAUGAAUAGUAGAAAUUGAUCUUCGAAAUUAUUCCAUAGUAAACCCAAUGUUCGUGGAGAGUUAUCUUCUUCAACCGAAUGAAGAGACGAUUGCGACAAUAAUUCGCGAUGUAAAUAAUUAAGAGCUUUGGAGUUAUUAGAAACCCAUUUCCUUGCGGUAAAACAGCCAGCUUCUAAAACUUUGUUCAGCUGAAAAAUCAUUUCCUGAACUUCAUCGAUGUCGUUAACUCCUGAAAAUAUGUCAUCUACAUAAGUAUUUAAGCAAAGAAUCUCAGAACCCAUUGGAAUAUUUUGUGAAUUUUCGUUAAUGAGCUUCUAAUAGCUAAAUAUGGAGCACUAGAAAGGCCAUAAGUAACGGUGGAGAGCUGGAAUGUUUGAAUUGAAUGAGAGGGAUCUUCUCUCCACACGAUUUGUUGAAAAGGCUGAUCGUCUUUAUGAAUUUGAAUUUGCCUGUACAUUUUCUCCAAAUCACAUGCAAAGACAAUUGGAUAUCGUCUCCAACGAAGCAGAACAUCGACUAGUUCGUUUUGACGUUUUGGUCCGGUAGAUAAACAAUCAUUUUUGUUUUCUGGGAUCCAUUGAAUACAACUCUUAGUUUUGUCGUUGUGCUACUUUCUCGAAUUACACUAUGGUGUGGAAGAUAAUAAUGUAGUGAAUCGAAGGAGGGUGUAGAAACUGGGCGCAUAUGAUUUAGUACGAAAUUUUCGUUCAUGAAUUUAACGUAUUCCCUUUUAAAACUUUCAUUCUUCGCGAAACGUAAUUCUAAUUUACUGAACAUUCGAGAAGCAGCGGAAUAUGAAUUUCCCAAUUUUGCGGGCGAUGUACAGCAUGAAAGUCGGAUCAUGAAUCGUCCAUUGCUAUCUCGAGAAUGUGUGUUCACAAAAUGUUCUUCGCAUUUAUGUUCUUCAUGUGUAAGACGAGGUAAAAUCGAUGAAUUUUCUUCCUGUUUCCAAAAUUUUUGCAUGAGUUCAAGAAAUUCAUAAUCUAUAGAACAUUGGAAUCCAUAAUGCGAUAUCGAUUUGGAAGAUGAGGACAGAAUUCCUGAUAAUAUCCAUCCCAAAGAGGUUUUUUGAGCGAGUAAACAAUCAUCAUAACUUUUACGAAUUUCGUUUUGAAUGAUCUGAGAAUAGAUACUCACUCCGAGGAUCAAAUCAAUUGUCUUUGAUGAAGUAAAAUCUGGAUCAGCUAACAUAAUAUCACUAAAAUCGAAUUCUAGCGUUGUAGGACGUUUCGGUGGAAGGUAUGCGGUCAACUUUGGUAAAAUCAGUGCAUUUUCAGCAAAUGUAAGAGAUUCGUUAAUUCUUGAAAAUAAUUGAAUUUUCACAGUUCCAUUAGAAAUACUGGUCUGUUGAGAUCCGAUUCCAGCAAUAGGUAUACUUUGAGAAUGUCGAGAUAACUUCAAUUGUUGUACUAAGCUUUCAGAAAUGAACGAUACUUCAGACCCCUGGUCAAUGAGGCCCUUACGAGACGACGUUCGCCGAAAUGAGAAAUUAUUCCAACCAGAGAAUGAGAUGGCUGGAAGUUGAUGCGAUUGGCAUGCAAGGAGGAGUAUUUGCUUGAAGUGGAGUUGUAUGUUGAGUGUUCGAUUCUUUUUGAGAUGGUGAAUGGAUGGUACUCAUUGAUGGUUUAGCAUCAUGUAAGGAGGUAUGGUGUUGCUUUUGACAGAUUCGGCAUCUCUUAGUAAUUCUACAGUUUUUUCGAAAGUGUGGUCUAAGACAAUUGAAGCAGAGGUUCUUGGACGCAACAAAAUCUGAACGUUGAUUGGGAGAUUUUUUCAAGUAUUGUUGGCAUGAUGAGAUAUAAUGAGAAUCUUGACAAAGACUGCAGUUGUUGGACGAAGGUGACGCAUUAAGAGAUUUUACAUUUGAAGGUUUGUUGAACGUCGAAGUAUUCAUUUUACGAGUAGCUACUUGUUCUAUUGCUUCUACGGCAUGAAUUCGUCCCAAGAGAAAUGAUUUGAGAUCAUCAAAUGAAGGAGGAUUUUGCUUGUUGGCUAAAGAUUUUUCCCAGCCUUUGAUAGAUUCAACAUCAAGUUUUCGAACAACUAGAUAAACAAGAAUAUUAUCCUACUUGUCAAUGGGACAUCCUAACGUAUCUAAAGCGCCUAGAGACUUUUUAAUUUCCCCUAAUAGUCGCUUUAAUUCAACUGAAGAAUCGUUUUUUAACGGACGAGAUGUAAAUAAAUUAUUUAAUUGCGGAUCAAUGAGUAAUCUUUAAUUCUCGUAACGAUUUAUAAGCAUCUUCCAUGCACGCUCAAAAUUUUCAUUGGUUACCGUUAGAUUUUUCAAUAAUUGAGAUGGUUCAUCGGAUAGGCUCAUUUUUAAAUAAUGUAGUUUUUUUGCAUCAGAAAUGUCUUCAUUCUUAUGGAGCAUUGGUAUGAACAAAUCUUUAAAUUGGGACCAAUUUGAAUAUUUUCCGUUAAAUUUUGGUAGAUUUAUGCGAGGAAGAUGUCGAUUUUGAGAUUUAACGACUGUUUGAGCUGGAAUUUGAACUUGCGAUACCGGUGUUUCAUUUAACAAAUCUAACAUGGCUCCCUUUGCAUCAUGAUACUCUUCUUCGCAUUUGAAAUAUAUAUUUUCAGAAAUAUAAUUUGCAUCUGCGUAAUUAGCACUAUAUUUCGAUAAUUUUUUAUGAAAUAUGUUGAAUUCUUCCCAAUUCGCUUCCAAACGGUCUAAGCGACUUUGAACAUUUCCGCGUGUUCUUUUUACAAAAGCGAGUUUUCGAAGAUUAUCUAACGAACGAGAAAUUAAACCGUAAAGUUCAUUUUGUCGAUUAAAAAUCGGAUUAAGAUCUGCAGCUGUUGCGGGUGGAGCUCCGGUUUUUGACAUUUUUUUUUUUUAGUUACUCCAAAUGUUCAAGGACACGAAAUAAAUGUACACGCGUAACGCACUCGAACGAUCGAAAUUCGAUUUAUCCGGCUCGAAGGACCAAUAAUUUAUGUUUAAGAAAUUGAAGUUUUGUAAGAAUUUGAAAAUUCACUUAAUUAAAUUAAUCGAAUGACAAUGAAUUGUUUGAAAUAAUUGAAUUAAAAGAAAAUUGUCUUACUUCCCAUUUGUUGAAACACUAUUAGAUUAUGUUUUACUUGAAGUUAAAACUGAAUAAGGAGAAGAAAUAAAACAUCUACAUUUGAGAGAAUCAAACCACGUUAUGUCUUCGAGACCACGAGACAAAACCUCUUUUUCAAAAAAAAAAAAAAAACAAAACCAAAGCGUUCGGUCGUUUACGGAAAAAUACGAAACUGAUUUGAAAUUAACAAAUAUCAAAAUGGAAUAAAAUAAAAUUGAAUGAAAAUUAAUAAACAUUUUGAACACUGUCCAAAGGGAAUUUUAUGAUAUUGCACGAUUUCCGUGUGUGAUUGGAGCAAUUGAUUGUACCUAUUUAAUCCCCAGGUGGAGCAUUUGCAGAAAAUUUUAAAAAUUGAAAAGGUUAUUUUUCCAUUAAUGUGCAAACUGUGUCGAAUGCCAAUAUGCGUAUUUUAGAUAUUGUAGCCAGGUGGCCAGGAUCAACGCAUGAUCAAACAAUUUUUAAUAAUAGUUGCCUUAAACACCGUUUAGAAAUUGGCCAGUUUAUUUUUAUUAGAAGAUGGUGGAUACCAAAACAAGAAUUAUUUGUUUGUACCGAUAGACCAACCACAGCGGGAAGCGGAAAGACUCUACAAUGAGUCUCAAAUUAGAACGAGAAAUGUUGUUGAAUGCCAAUAUGGCACAUAGAAAAGAAGAUUCCAAGUGCUGCGGUGGGAAUUAAGAAUUUCAGUUGAAAGGUGCACCAUUUCCUUAUACUGAAAUAAUCGUUCAUGUAUAUUGCUAAGAUAAAAAGAUGUUUAGGUUAACGAUGAUAUAAUUUUAUUAUUCGCAAUUGGUGCUACAAAUGUUUCGACAGCCUAGCUGUCUUCUUCAGGCACGACUAAAACCGUAAAGAAAAGAAAAGGUCAGUGAUGAACAUAAAACUAAAGUAAAAUAAAGGAACAUUACCGUCAGAAAUGUGGGGACCUUGUGAGAUCUACAUGUAGGCAAUGUUAUACAGUUUCCUUAAACUCUUUACAGUCAAAUGACAACAAAAUGGUUAACAUGUAUCGGGUUAUACUUUUAGAACUGCAUGGAAACAAGAUUUAUAUCAGUCUCAUCCACGAGAAAAGGUCAAUUUUUCAAACCAAGUUCUUAAACAAAGAUAAAACGAAAAAUCAAAAUUAAAAUUAAAGGGCAAACAACAAAAACUUACAAAUUUC